UAACUCCAUUCUCAAGGAAAUAAUCUUCA
rnacentral:sRNA from 1 species